AUUGAACGCUGGCGGCAUGCCUAACACAUGCAAGUCGGACGAGUGGCGAACGGGUGAGUAAUAUCUCGGAACGUACCUAAUAAAGGGGUAUAACUAAUCGAAACAUUAGCUAAUACCGCAUACUAUUCGAUCUGCCGAGAUGGGAUUAGCUAGUUGGUGGGGUAACGGCCAACCAAGGCGACGAUCAGUAGCGGGUCUGAGAGGAUGAUCGGCCACACUGGGACUGAGACACGGCCCAGACUCCUACGGGAGGCAGCAGUGGGGAAUAUUGGACAAUGGGCGCAAGCCUGAUCCAGCCAUGCCGCGUGUCUGAAGAAGGCCUUCGGGUUGUAAAGGACUUUUGUCAGGGAAGCGGUACCUGAAGAAUAAGCACCGGCUAACUACGUGCCAGCAGCCGCGGUAAUAC
rnacentral:rRNA from 1 species